AACGAACGCUGGCGGCAGGCUUAACACAUGCAAGUCGAACGCCCCGCAAGGGGAGUGGCAGACGGGUGAGUAACGCGUGGGAAUCUACCGUGCCCUGCGGAAUAGCUCCGGGAAACUGGAAUUAAUACCGCAUACGCCUACGGGGAAAGAUUUAUCGGGUACGAUGAGCCCGCGUUGGAUUAGCUAGUUGGUGGGGUAAU
rnacentral:rRNA from 1 species